rnacentral:rRNA from 1 species
GGGGAAAAAUUAAUAAUUUAGAUUUAAUAGAAGAAUUUUUAAAGAGAAAAUAUUUAAUGGGGGUUAAAGUAUUUUUUAUAGAAAAAAUUAUAAUAUUUAUAGUGAAUUAGUAUUGUAUAAGAAUUAUGAAAUAUUUGAAAAUAAAUUUAUUUAAUAGUAAAUUUAAUUUAUUGUAUCUUGUGUAUCAGAGUUUAUUAAUAAAAAAUUUUUUGAAAAAAAUUUCUCGAAUUUGAAAGAGUUAAUUAGUUAAAAAAGUUAAUGUAGCAUAAUUAUUUUAAAUAAUUAAUUGGAAAUGAAAUGUUAAUCGUUUUUAAAUAUAUCUAGUUUUUUUAGAAAAAAAUUUAAUUUUGAAUAUUAAAGUUAAAAAUUUUUAUUAGGGAAAAUUUUGUUAAUUAAUGUUUAAUAUUUUAAGGGAUAAGCUUUAAAAUAAAUUUUUAUAAUAUUAUUUCAAUUUAAUUAAAAAUUUUAGAAUUUAUAUUGUUAAUAAAUUAUAAUUUUUUAUAAAUAAUUUAAUUUAAAGUUAAAAUUUAAUUUAAUAUUUAAUUUUUUAUGAAAAAAUAUUUUUAAAUAAUAUAGAAUUAGUUAUAAUGAUAAAAUUAGUAUAUUUAAGAAAAGUUUUCAUAAAAAAAAAUGAAAAUUUAAAAAAAGGAAUUCGGCAAAAAUUUAUAUUCACUUGUUUAUCAAAAACAUGUCUUUUUGAAAAUAAUAUAAAGUCUAAUCUGCCCACUGAUAAAAUUAAAGGGCUGCAGUAUUUUGACUGUACAAAGGUAGCAUAAUCAAUAGUCUCUUAAUUGGUGACUUGUAUGAAAGAUUGGAUGAAAUAUAAGCUGUCUUUAUUUAAAUAUUAAAAAUUAAUUUUUUAGUUAAAAAGCUAAGAUAUUUUUAAAAGACGAGAAGACCCUAUAGAGUUUUAUAAUUUAAUUUAAUUUUAAUAUUUUAUGUUUUUUUUUAUUAAAAUAAAGGGAAUUAUUUUGUUGGGGUGAUAGAAAAAUUUAAAAAACUUUUUUUUUGAUGUUAACAUUAAUAUAUGAUUAAAUGAUCCAUAAAUAAUGAUUAUAAGAAAAAAUUACCUUAGGGAUAACAGCGUAAUUUUUUUUUUUAGUUCAAAUAAGAAAAAAAGUUUGCGACCUCGAUGUUGGAUUAAGAUAAAAUUUAAAUGCAAAAGUUUAAAAUUUUUGAUCUGUUCGAUCAUUAAAAUCUUACAUGAUCUGAGUUCAAACCGGUGUGAGCCAGGUUGGUUUCUAUCUUUAGAUAAUAAUUAAUAUUUUAGUACGAAAGGAUCAAAUAUUAGAAAUAAUUUUAUUAUUAUGAAUUUUAUUAAUUUAUGAAUAAAUAU